rnacentral:rRNA from 1 species
AUGGAGAGGUUCCCCGGCAAGGUCGCCGCCGCCGUGUUCGCAGCCGCCGGGAUGCCGUGCGUUGGCAAGCACAUGGGCGUCACCACCGAGGAGUUCAUGCGAAGGACAUCAUCGGAAGGACUCAUGGACUGCAAGAUGCUGCCAAUCAAUAACAACCACGGUGCAGGGGUUGCAAUGAUAAUGGGCCCAAACUUCUUAGCACGCAAGAACUACCAGCAAAGUUCACCUGAGGAUUUGGCCCUGGCAAAAAUGUUGGUGAGACCGGGAAACCUGUUCAUGGAGGAUCCGGUGAUGAAGGAUGCAAGCCUGCUCACCGAUACCAACUACGGGUCGGUGAAGAAGGUAUAUGUGGUAGCAAAGGCUGAUGGCUCCAGCACCGAGGAGAUGCAGCGUUGGAUGGUGUUGUUGAGCCCCGGCACGGAGGCCGAGGAGAUCGCGGGAGCUGACCACGCCAUCAUGAGCUCGAGGCCUAGGGAGCUCUGUGAUGCUCUGGUCAAGAUCGCCGACAGCUUAAAUACUUGCUAA